AAUAAUUAUAACAACGAUGAUAAUGAUGAUGAUCAAAGUGUCGCCAAAUGUAUUUAAUUACAUGAAAUGCGUUAUCAUCUAGUAAAUAAAUACAAACAAUAGGUGUCCCCCCCCCCUUUCAGUAAUGUUGGAAAUAGAACCAACAUACCAAUAAAAUCAGACAUUAAACUACAGCAAUUGGCCCGCAGAGACCUCAGCUGCAAGACUGAAUGAGUGUUGUCGCCACCUCGUGGCAGGAACUGGAACAGGACCCGCCGGAGAAAACCGACAAUCGUGCUGCAUCCGAAGCUUGAGACCAAGAAGGAAAUCUGCGCCUGAGUUUGACAUCGACCCUGCAACUCCAGAAAAAACAAAUGGGACACUGGUCCAUUGCAAGGAUGAUAUCCCCAGCAGUGAACGUCCCCAGUUUCACCCGGCCGGACGGACUGGAACAUCAUGGAUGAAGUACCUCACUCAAUGUACGACAGCAGGUCCCCAGCAGGACGAACUCGCAAGCCACCAGUUAUGAGACCAGAGACUUACAAACUAUGCAACACUGUUCCCGCACCUACAGUAGGCAGUAAAACUUUGAGAAA
rnacentral:lncRNA from 1 species